AACUUUCAACAACGGAUCUCUUGGUUCUGGCAUCGAUGAAGAACGCAGCGAAAUGCGAUAAGUAAUGUGAAUUGCAGAUUUCAGUGAAUCAUCGAAUCUUUGAACGCACAUUGCGCCCUCUGGUAUUCCGGAGGGCAUGCCUGUUCGAGCGUC
rnacentral:rRNA from 6 species